UCCAGGGUAGCUUAGUGGACAUGGCAUCUGCCCGGUAAGCGGAAGGUUGUGGGUUCGAUUCCCGCCCCUGGAC